GAUGGUUUAGUUUGUAGUCCUUUCACAAUAGUUUAUUUGUGGGGAAAAAAUGAAAUUAUAAUUUCAUCUAACAAUUAUUCUCUAUUUAUGCAUAUCAUAUGAUAAAUCAUAUUUGAAAAUCACUCUUCCAAUGUUUGAUUGCAGUGAAUUUUUAGACCCUGUUGUUGCUGCUACAUUGGACUUUCGAAAUCUUAACAAGAGAAAAUUUCUAACUAAUUUCUCUACAUUACUCCCUUAGUUUUUCCCAUUAAUGCUAAAGCUCAUGAAAUGUAGAGAAGUAAG